ensembl:ncRNA T20G5.16 ncRNA
GAGACCGAAACAUAAAGACAUAGACAACACGGUCUUCCUCCACUUCUAUACACACUCUUCUGCUUCUUCUUCUCCUGCUGGCUUUCAAGCAACGGACACGGCCGAAAGCAGAAGCCGUGCAGAAAAAAAGAAGAAGAAGAAAAAAGAAAAGAGCUGUGGCCACACAAACAAAUGGAUGUUGUCUCUGUAGCAAUGGCGGUUGGCUCCGCGAGAGCGCCGGAGGGGAAAUUGGGAGACAAAAAGUUAAUGCACUUGACAAUA